rnacentral:lncRNA from 1 species
GUAUCAUGGUUCCCACUGCCAAGCCUGGGGAGCUGCCUAGAACUGCCAGCUUUCCAAGAUGAAUGCUCCAGACUCUGUGGCUCUCAACGAAGGCACUUGACUAAGUCUGCAAUCAAGGGCUAAUGAACAGACUACCAGACUAUAGUGCAGCUUCAUCUCAUAUAAGCAGUGGGAUAUGAUGAAAAUCUUACAGCCAGUCUGAGCCUGCUUGCUCAUGUGCAAUGUUUUCUUAAAGGGAACUUCGUCUGUAUGUGUUACGGCUAAAUUCAUGAGUCUACCCAUAUCAGAUUGUGUAUCAUAUCCCUAAAUGCCUGUGAGAUCUGUCGAUAAUAUCUUAAUGGUUAGCUGUUUUUCAA